rnacentral:rRNA from 1 species
GAUGAACGCUGGCGGCGUGCCUAAUACAUGCAAGUAGAACGCUGAAGGAGGAGCUUGCUCUUCUGGAUGAGUUGCGAACGGGUGAGUAACGCGUAGGUAACCUGCCUGGUAGCGGGGGAUAACUAUUGGAAACGAUAGCUAAUACCGCAUAACAACAGUUAUUGCAUGAUAACUGUUUAAAAGGUGCAACUGCUCCACUACCAGAUGGACCUGCGUUGUAUUAGCUAGUUGGUGAGGUAACGGCUCACCAAGGCGACGAUACAUAGCCGACCUGAGAGGGUGAUCGGCCACACUGGGACUGAGACACGGCCCAGACUCCUACGGGAGGCAGCAGUAGGGAAUCUUCGGCAAUGGACGGAAGUCUGACCGAGCAACGCCGCGUGAGUGAAGAAGGUUUUCGGAUCGUAAAGCUCUGUUGUAAGAGAAGAACGAGUGUGAGAGUGGAAAGUUCACACUGUGACGGUAUCUUACCAGAAAGGGACGGCUAACUACGUG